CCCAAAGAAUUUGGCGGUGUUUUAUUCUAAUCAGAGGAACUUGUCCCGUUAUCGAUAGUCCUCGUUUUAUCUUGCUUGAUUUAUUUAGUAUGUAUACCGCCGUUAUAAGUUUAUUUUUUUAGAAUUUUAUUUACUGGUAAUUUUAUUUUAUUUUAUUUCAGGUCAAGGUGCAGCUUAUAAUUAAGUGGUGGUGAGUUACAUUAUUAUUUGAAUAAAUGGAUUUUUUUUUUGAAAUUUUUUAAUGAAGGUGGAUUUGAUGGUAAUUUUAUUUAUUAAUUUAUUUUGAAAUUAGCUCUAAGACAAGUACACAU
rnacentral:rRNA from 1 species